GACAGAGGGUGCAAACGUUGCUCGGAAUUACUGGGCGUAAAGCGCGUGUAGGUGGCUUGUUAAGUCGGGUGUGAAAUCCCUCGGCUCAACCGAGGAAGUGCAUUCGAUACUGGCAAGCUCGAGUACCGGAGAGGGUCGUGGAAUUCCUGGUGUAGAGGUGAAAUUCGUAGAUAUCAGGAGGAACACCGGCGGCGAAGGCGGCGACCUGGACGAGUACUGACACUCAGACGCGAAAGCGUGGGGAGCAAAC
rnacentral:rRNA from 1 species